rnacentral:tRNA from 1 species
GCCGCUAUAGCUCAGUGGUAGAGCACACCCUUGGUAAGGGUGGGGUCGCAAGUCCGAUUCUUGCUAGCGGCA